UCGACCAGGAUGGAUAUGCCUCUAGUAAAUUGAUCAUAACUCCUUCAUUACAUCUCCAAAUGACUUGAAACCACUUCCAUUAGAAAGCUAACUCAAUUUUCUGUGUCUCCACAAAAUCUUAGCAACAGAAGAUUUCUCUAAAGGCUCCAUCCAUGCUCAUAUUUCACCUCCUUUUGGAUCACAAUGCUCCCAAACAUCUCAAAUCACUCCAUGGCACACUCCAACACCUAAUAAGGACAAUGAAUGCAAAAUGCAACCUAGACAUGGCUAAAUCCUAAUCUAUAUGAUGAAAAUGCUCAUGGAUGAAUGGAUAAAACAAUGUAAAUAUGCAAGAUAUCAACUCCCCCAAACUUGUUCUUUUACUUGUCCACAAGUGAACUUUCUAGAACUCAUAAGGAGAGAGGUUGAAGGUGGGAGCACAUAGCCAAAAGAAACACAACUAGCACACUCUCUUAUUACACUCUAGCUUCUCUAGGCCUAUCUCAACUCUUUUUGCUCUUACACUCAUCAUCAAGCAUCCACACAUUCAAAUCAACCAACUCUCACAUUCAUUAAGCACAAAACAUUAGGUGAAUUCUUGCAAAUGGUCAGUUGGUCCAAAUCAUUUGGUUGGGUAAGAGAAGGUUUUUAUUCAAGUGAUUCAAGAGGUUCAAAACAUAUGAUCUUUAAGGUGGUUUACUCUCGAAACAAGUAGACUUGACAUUGCACAUAAUAUAUCUAAGAAAGGGAUCAACUCAUGCUUACAAUGCUCAAUCUCCAUUGUUCUACCCUUUUCCCAAACAUACAAUUACACAAUCAUUCCCAAAUGUCAAACCCAACUCUCAUCUCUCACCAAAAGAUCCUAAGAACUUUAACUCCUUCUCCUUGAAAUCUACAAGGGAUUUUUUUCAGAACCUCAAAAUAUUUCUUAGCUCCUAACAACUUUGCUAGCCCCUUUUUCUUUUCUUUUUUUCUUUUUCUUUUCUCUUUUUUUUCGUUUUUUUUUUUCUUUUUCCUUUUUUUUUUUUAUUUUUUUAGGCUGGGGGCCAAGACUUUCAAAACUUGAGCUAGAGGCUUCUCUACUUAUCCCAAUAAAACAAUUCACUUAAGCACAAAGAGUCUAUUCUUUUCCUUUUUCAUUUCUCCCAAAUCAUAAUCACAACACUCACCCCCCACCUAUAGCUAGACAAUAGAGUGCCCAAUCUAGCAAGAAUGAAGAUCAAGCAUUGUCGUUCCCGAUACUCUCAACAUUAUGCACAUGUAAGACUUUCCGAAAAAGGCCUCACUCAUCAAACAAUGAAAGCUUAAAAGGAGGGAAAGGUUUUGGGAGUGGUCUACCACUAGAGUUUGUCAAAAAAGAUUGACAUAAAAGAUGUGACAACUCAAGUGUGUAUAGCCAUGACUCAGUACACAAGGGACCAUGAGCAAGAAGCAUUAAGUUCGUUCAGUUCAAAUAAGGUUGUAGUUGGCUUCAAAGACUGAGUUUCAGCAAUCAACAAGUUUCAGGAAGAGUUUUCAAGGCUCGAAACAUACAAGUCUUUUUGAGAGGUGCAAAAGCUACUCAGGUGCAACGUAGUGUUCUUUACAAGGCAUUUAAAAUCAUUGCUCCCAAUGCAUGUGAAUGCAACCUAUAUGCUCUAGACUCUCCUAGAAAUGCAAAUGAUGCAAACUAAAUGAUUGAUUUUUUUUUUUUUAUAUGCAAAUAGGUAUGCAAUGCAUGACUCAAUGAAACAACAUCAAAGCAAACAUGAUCAAAUACUUGGUACCUCCCCCAAACUUGAGUUACACAGUCUCUGUGUUGUCAAGUAGAGAGAGAGAUACCGAAAAGAAGACUAAUAUGCAAAAAUAAAAUGGUAUAUACAGGGGAGUGUGAUGGGUUACCUUCUAUGGGGAAUGAGUAGAGGGAGAUGAUCCCUCCUCGUCGUCCUCAGGUGGUAACUCUUCAAGGUGCUCAUCAGCAGGAGUGUCCAUCUCUUCAAUGUAGAAGGCUUGCCCGAACACAGUUGGUUUCCUCAUUUUCCUCUUGAUGUCAAAGUGGAGGAUGUUCUCUUUACCCAAAUGGAGAUCAAUCGUGCCUUCCUUCACAUUAACAAUAGCUCCUGCUGUAGCUAAGAAUGGUCUUCCUAGAAUCAAUGGAUCUUGAGCCUCCUCACCCAUCUCAAGCACCACAAAAUCUGUAGGUAUCUCAUACCUUCCAAUCUUCACAGGGAGGUCCUCUAAGAUGCCCACAGGAUACUUCACUGAACGAUCAGCUAACACCAGAGAGAGUCUACACUUCUUGAACUGGGUGAAUCCAAGCUUCUUUGCAACAGACAAAGGCAUCAAGCUGACACUAGCUCCCAAAUCGCAGAGACUUUUCUCAAAUACCAUAGGUCCAAGAGCACAAGGUAGUGUGAAGCUUCCUGGAUCCUCUAAUUUCUCUGAAGCAUCAAGCCUCUGGAUGAUGGCAUUGCACUCAUGGGUAAGAAUCAUCAUGCCUUCCAUCUCCUUCUUCUUUGCAGCUACAGCAUCUUUCAAGAACUUGCUGUAUUGAGGAAUCAACAUAAAAGCAUCGAUGAUGGGCAUUGCAACCUGAGCUUCACUCAUUUGCUUCUCAAACAGAGCUUUGUAUUUCUCUAGCAGCUGCCUCUUGAAUCUACCAGGGAAUGGUAGUUUGGGUUCAUAGGGAGGAGGAACAAAAGAACUUUCACUUGCUGGAGUAACAACUUCACCAUCUUUUACUGUCUUCUUCUCUUCCCCAACCUUUCCUUUACCUUUGGCUUCUACUAUCUUUUCCAAGAUCUCGUCAUUGAUCUUCUCAUCAACAAUCACCACUUCAUCAUCUAUGUUGAUGGCAACCCCCUCACCUAGUUUCUCAGCAUCCUUGGUGAGGGUUUUAGGAGGUAACUGUUUACCACUCCUAAGGGUGAUAGCUUUGGCCUCCUUGGGGUUUUGGUCAGACUUUCCAGGUAGAGAUCCUUGCUGGCGAUUCUGGUGAGUGUUCAUGGAAGCAAACUGAUUCUCUAAAUUCCUGACUGUAGAAGCAAGGUGAGAGAAUUUGUUGUUGAGCUCAUUGUAGCUCCCAUCAAUCUUGGUAUGAAGGUUCUUCAACUCAUAACCAACAUGCUUCUCACUUCUAGUCUGAGACUCCAAGAUUUGUUUCAGUAAGGUAUCAGUGCUGCUCUCUUGAGGAGCAGAGGAGCCAGACGAGGGGUUUUGCUGAGGCUGAUAGCUGCCUUGCUGGUUGUUUCUAGGCGGAUAACCACUCUGUUGGUUGUUGGGAUAGGAUUUCUGUUGGUAGUUGUUGUACUGAAAGUUGGGCUCCUUUUUGUACCAGCUACCAUUGUUGUUGAUGAAGCACAACUCUUCCUGACCUUCCAAACCCUCAACCUCAUUGACAGCAAGUGGAUCUUCCUGCCUGGAGUUACCAACAAACUUCAGCUGCUCUUGGGUGGCUUUUUCAGCAAUGAGAAGGUCGAUCUUGUCUUCCAAAGCUUUGAUCUCUUUCCUCGUCUGCUUAUCAUCUGUUCUACUGCCUCUGUCGUGGUCUCCACUGUAGACUGCAUCACUCUUUACCAUGUUGUCAACCAGCUCUUCUGCAUCCUCCUCAGUUCUCCCCAAGAAAAACCCAUUGCUAGCUGUAUCCAGUCUAGCUCUGUACUUAGGAAGAGCACCACGGUAGAAUGUGCUCAGCAAGCUCUCCUUAGAAAAGCCAUGGUGUGGGCAUUGAGCUUGGUAGCCCUUGAAUCUCUCCCAGGCUUCACUGAAGCCUUCCAAGUUCUUCUGUUGAAAGCUGGAAAUCUCGUUUCUCAGCUUAGCAGUUCUUGAAGUAGAGAAGAACUUCUCCAAGAAUGCUUUCUUGCAGUCAUCCCAAGUGGUGAUGGAGUCGCUGGGUAGAGACUUCUCCCACUGACGUGCUUUAUCCCCCAAAGAGAAAGGGAAUAGCUUGAGCUUUAAGGCAUCUUCGGACACACCAUUGGUUUUUGACAACCCACAGUAGCUGUCGAACCUGUCCAAGUGAUCAAAUGGAUCCUCUAGAGCCAAGCCAUGAUACUUGUUGUUCUCGAUCACAUUGAGGAGUCCUGAUUUGAUCUCAAAGUUGUUGGCUGCUACAGCUGGUGCUCGGAUUCCCAAUCUAUGACCAUGAAUGUUGGGGCGGUCAUAAGUGCCAAUAGGUCGCGCUGCUCGCUGUUGGUUUUGAGGUAUGUCUCCCAUAUCAGUAUCCAAUCUCUGCAAGUGAGCCUGUUGCUCUUCUUCUCUUCUAUUUCUAGCACACUCUCUCUCUAAAGCUCUGAUGUCUGCAGCUAUUGGAACUAGGUUUGAUGGACCCCUGCUCCUCAAGUUCAUACACCUGUAGAUUAAAGGGAGGUGAAGAAGAAUCAGUAACAAAAUAAAAUAAAAAUGACUUAGUCUCAAGCAAGUGACUAAAUCUCAAUGUUCAAAUCUACUCAGAAUUUGGCAACGGCGCCAAUUUGAUGUUAGGAGUUUUCAAGGCUCCUAAGACAAAUGUUGUAGUAUAGAAGAUUAUCGAACCAGUUCUGAGGGAUAUCAAAGCACUGAGAAUGCAAGUACUCACUUAAUCUAAGUGCAACCAAUGAUUUAGAUGGGUUUUAAGCUAUGACUAAAACUAAAAAGCAAUAACAGAAUGAUACUUUCUUAACUAAGGGAAAAGAGAACUCAUGGGCAUAGGGAUUAGACCUUGGGUGAUCAAGUAUCGAACUAAAGAUGGCAAAUGAUCAAUCAAACUAUCAACCUUAAGCCUAGACACAAUUCUAAGCAAGCUCUAUGUCUAGAUGAAUGCUCAUUUGCUAACAUAUCUCAAACAUCAAAUGUCUUUGGUUGAAUAAUAUGAAAGCAAUCAUUACUAACAAGUCUAUUAGCUAUCUUAGCACCUUUAACAACAAAUGUCUUUGGCAAAGUAUACUAAAAGCCUAGGAGAAUUGUCUCAGGCAUUUCAUCAAACACCUUUUGGGUGGGAAAUGUCUAUUGAUCAACUUUUGAGUGGCCAACUCAGAAGAUGCAUUAUGAAUACUCUACUAGCAAGGAACAAGAAUGAUCUACACUAAAACAUCCUAGAACUAACCUAAUCACCCCUAAUCUCCCUAACCCAUGAGUUCAAAAGGUGAUUACUCACUAAUCUCCAUGAUUCCUCUUAAACCCAUAUUGGAUUUUAGAUUAACCAUGUAGAGAAAUAGAAAAUAAAUCAACAAGAACACAAGAUGAAAGCAAUGAAAUCUGAAUCAAAAGAGGUUUUUUUACUAGUUCUUCUCUAGAAAAGAGAUUAUUUUGCCUCCCUUGGCUUACAAAGUACUUAACUUAGGUUUAGAAAGUGUAAAACAUCAAAACAAAUGACCAAAAGGUCCCUGAAAAAUCAUAAGUUUCGUCCAAGCAAAACACGCGGAGGGACUUCGUGGUGUAGCUCCGAGACGUAGCUCUGGGUUGGGAGCUACCUUAUGGUGUCGCUCUGGAAGGUCCCUCCAGGCCUAUGUUUUGGCUUCCAAAGUGAUGAAAAGGCGAGUGACGUAGGGGUGUAGCUCUGGAAGGUCGCUCUGGGUUGGGAGCUACCUUAUGGUGUCGCUCUGGAAGGUCCCUCCGCGAUACUCGACCAGGAUGGAUAUGCCUCUAGUAAAUUGAUCAUAACUCCUUCAUUACAUCUCCAAAUGACUUGAAACCACUUCCAUUAGAAAGCUAACUCAAUUUUCUGUGUCUCCACAAAAUCUUAGCAACAGAAGAUUUCUCUAAAGGCUCCAUCCAUGCUCAUAUUUCACCUCCUUUUGGAUCACAAUGCUCCCAAACAUCUCAAAUCACUCCAUGGCACACUCCAACACCUAAUAAGGACAAUGAAUGCAAAAUGCAACCUAGACAUGGCUAAAUCCUAAUCUAUAUGAUGAAAAUGCUCAUGGAUGAAUGGAUAAAACAAUGUAAAUAUGCAAGAUAUCA
rnacentral:lncRNA from 1 species